GGUUUCUACAAAUGUGAGGUUUGUAGCAUUUUUGGCUAAAUCCUAUCGGUCUUGAAUCUGGUUGCAAGAUUUUCACGGGAAUUCUCUCAACUUGCAAAUACUUUUGUAACUUUGAUAGAGAAUUGUGUAGGUUAAGACGAUAUACAUGGCAUGAUGCCCAUUUGUAUCUGAACAUGGAAUUUCUACUCAUAAUUUUCGAUGAUAUUAAGAGACGUUUUACCCCUAAAAAAAAAAAGAAAAACAAAAAAACCCAAAACUUUCCGACAAAAUUGCCACACAACAAGCAUUUGUAG
rnacentral:lncRNA from 1 species